rnacentral:rRNA from 1 species
UAUUAUUAAAUAUGUAAAUUAUGAAUAUCUGAGUAGUAUUAGUUAUGUCCUUGAAACUCAAAGAAUUUGGCGGUAUUUUAGUCCUUUCAGAGGAAUCUGUUCUGUAAUUGAUAGUACACGAUUUUUGUUACUUGAUCUAGUUAUCAGUUUAUAUACCGCUGUCGUGAAGAUUAUCUUGUGGAGAGUAUAAAUUUUCAUUAUUUUUUAUUAAAAUUUAUGUCAGGUCAAGGUGUAGCUUAUGAUUAAGAGGAAAUGGAUUACAAUAAAUUUAUUUAUGGAUAAUAUUAUUAAGUUGUAUUUGAAAGUGGAUUUGAUUGUAAAUUAGUUGAAAUUGAUUUUUUGAUUUAGGCUCUAGAAUGUGCACACAUCGCCCGUCGCUCUCGUUUUAAGAUGAG